GGCCUCAUAGCUCAGCUGGUAGAGCAUGCGCGUACAAAGCGUAGGCGGCGUUCAUGCGUGGGUUCGAAUUCCACUGGGGCUA
rnacentral:tRNA from 1 species